GGAGAGGUGUCCGAGCUGGCUUAAGGAGCACGACUGGAAAUCGUGUAGGUGAGGGCAACUCGCCUCGGGGGUUCGAAUCCCCCCCUCUCCGCCA
rnacentral:tRNA from 2 species